rnacentral:rRNA from 1 species
AACGAACGCUGGCGGCAUGCCUAACACAUGCAAGUCGAACGAGACCUUCGGGUCUGGUGGCGCACGGGUGCGUAACGCGUGGGAACCUGCCCUUAGGUUCGGAAUAACUCCCCGAAAGGGGUGCUAAUACCGGAUAAUGUCUUCGGACCAAAGAUUUAUCGCCUUUGGAUGGGCCCGCGUUGGAUUAGCUAGUUGGUAGGGUAAAAGCCUACCAAGGCGACGAUCCAUAGCUGGUCUGAGAGGAUGAUCAGCCACACUGGGACUGAGACACGGCCCAGACUCCUACGGGAGGCAGCAGUGGGGAAUAUUGGACAAUGGGCGAAAGCCUGAUCCAGCAAUGCCGCGUGAGUGAUGAAGGCCUUAGGGUUGUAAAGCUCCUUUACCCGGGAUGAUAAUGACAGUACCGGGAGAAUAAGCUCCGGCUAACUCCGUG